rnacentral:rRNA from 1 species
ACGAAGGGGGCUAGCGUUGCUCGGAAUUACUGGGCGUAAAGGGCGCGUAGGCGGACAGUUAAGUUGGGGGUGAAAGCCCGGGGCUCAACCUCGGAAAUGCCUUCAAUACUGGCUGUCUUGAGUACGGGAGAGGUGAGUGGAACUCCGAGUGUAGAGGUGAAAUUCGUAGAUAUUCGGAAGAACACCAGUGGCGAAGGCGACUCACUGGCCCGUUACUGACGCUGAGGCGCGAAAGCGUGGGGAGCAAACAG